UUUGUACCUGACUAGAAAUCAUAUAUUUUGAUUCCUGGUCCAGUAAUCUUAAACUAGCAAUAUUUUCUAUAUAAAAAUACUCCUUCACUUACAGGUUAUGGUGGUGAUGUUGAUGAUGAUGAUGACGGAGAUAAUGAUGAUUGCAAGCCACAGAAGAUGAAACUAACUUUAAAAAAUAAAAUACUAUAACAGGGCCUUGUGUGGCUUGAUCUUUCCAGCUGCCAAAGGAGGACCACCUGUGAUGUACCAUCUUGCCCAGAGAAACCAGGAACCCUACUCAAUGGAAAAUGCAAAGCACUCUUAUGUAGACCUCAGAUAGACUGAAACCAAAAAUAGAGAAUAUAAAAAACCUUGAGAGUCAGCAUAACGUUAUUGUUCACUACUCUAGUCAUACCCCUGAGCAUAUUUCAUCCUCAAACAACACAAAUUUGAACUGUCGGUUCCAUGUACACAAGGAUUUUCUUCAGUAA
rnacentral:lncRNA from 1 species